CAGCUCAAUGGUACGAUGGUCCAGUUUACUCGAAUGGGCAUCAGAUACCAACUGCUAGUUCCACAUCUUACCGUUCCAAUUCGUCUUCUAUGAGAAGUCAGAGCCAGCAUCCAACAACAAACCUCAUGGUGUGUUCGCCAAACAAAUUAUUUUCAUAAUAUUGUGUUGCAGAGUUUCUUUUUAAGUAAUUACUUGUGUCUGGCAUUCAAUGACAUCUAAAGCUUGCUCUCACAUACCAUUGGUAUUAAAUUGUACUUCCUUUCUUAAGACUGCACAUACAAAUGUGAUGUGUUUGCAUAUUUGGAUUAUUAUGAGAAAUAUAUGCAGUGUACCUGAAUAAAUCUUAGCUGUUGGUUUCAUUUAUUUCCAGGGUAUACAUGCACAGAUGCCUUCGUCUGGAAUGGGUCUGACCUCACCUAGAUAUCCUUCUAGGAUGUACCCAGACAACAGAUUAUAUGGGCAGUAUGGUCAGUAUGGGAACACACUGAAGGGUGGCCUUGGUUUUGGAUCAAACAUGUAUAGCUCGAGAAACAAU
rnacentral:lncRNA from 1 species